rnacentral:rRNA from 1 species
CUACGUGCCAGCAGCCGCGGUAAAACGUAGGUCACGAGCGUUGUCCGGAAUUACUGGGUGUAAAGGGAGCGCAGGCGGGUAUGCAAGUUGGGAGUGAAAUACAUGGGCUCAACCCAUGAACUGCUCUCAAAACUGUGUAUCUUGAGUAGUGCAGAGGUAGGCGGAAUUCCCGGUGUAGCGGUGGAAUGCGUAGAUAUCGGGAGGAACACCAGUGGCGAAGGCGGCCUACUGGGCACCAACUGACGCUGAGGCUCGAAAGUGUGGGUAGCA